UACGGGGGAUGCAAGCGUUACCCGGAAUCAUUGGGCGUAAAGCGCCUGUAGGUUGUUUAAUAAGUCUGUUGUUAAAGACUAGGGCUUAACCCUAGAACAGCAAUGGAAACUACUAGACUAGAGUAUGGCAGGGGUAGAGGGAAUUUCUAGUGUAGCGGUGAAAUGCGUAGAUAUUAGAAAGAACACCAGCGGCGAAAGCGCUCUACUGGACCAUUACUGACACUCAGAGGCGAAAGCUAGGGUAGCAAAAGGGAUUAGAUACCCCUGUAGUCUUAGCCGUAAACGAUGGAUACUAGAUGUUGUGCAUAUCGUACAGUAUCGUAGCUAACGCGUUAAGUAUCCCGCCUGGGGAGUACGCUCGCAAGGGCG
rnacentral:rRNA from 1 species